rnacentral:rRNA from 1 species
AGUGAACGCUGGCGGUAGGCCUAACACAUGCAAGUCGAACGGCAGCACAGUAAGAGCUUGCUCUUACGGGUGGCGAGUGGCGGACGGGUGAGGAAUACAUCGGAAUCUACUUUUUCGUGGGGGAUAACGUAGGGAAACUUACGCUAAUACCGCAUUCGACCUACGGGUGAAAGCAGGGGAUCUUCGGACCUUGCGCGAUUGAAUGAGCCGAUGUCGGAUUAGCUAGUUGGCGGGGUAAAGGCCCACCAAGGCGACGAUCCGUAGCUGGUCUGAGAGGAUGAUCAGCCACACUGGAACUGAGACACGGUCCAGACUCCUACGGGAGGCAGCAGUGGGGAAUAUUGGACAAUGGGCGCAAGCCUGACCCAGCCAUACCGCGUGGGUGAAGAAGGCCUUCGGGUUGUAAAGCCCUUUUGUUGGGAAAGAAAAGCAGCAGGUUAAUACCCCGCUGUUCUGACGGUACCCAAAGAAUAAGCACCGGCUAACUUCGUG